rnacentral:rRNA from 1 species
UAAUCGGAAUUACUGGGCGUAAAGCGCGCGUAGGCGGUUUGUUAAGUCGGAUGUGAAAUCCCCGGGCUCAACCUGGGAAUUGCAUUCGAUACUGGCAAGCUAGAGUAUGGGAGAGGAAGGUAGAAUUCCAGGUGUAGCGGUGAAAUGCGUAGAGAUCUGGAGGAAUACCGAUGGCGAAGGCAGCCUUCUGGCCUAAUACUGACGCUGAGGUGCGAAAGCAUGGGGAGCAAACAGGAUUAGAUACCCUGGUAGUCCAUGCCGUAAACGAUGUCAACUAGCCGUUGGGGGAUUUGAUCCUUUAGUGGCGCAGCUAACGCGAUAAGUUGACCGCCUGGGGAGUACGGUCGCAAGACUAAAACUCAAAUGAAUUGACGGGGGCCCGCACAAGCGGUGGAGCAUGUGGUUUAAUUCGAUGCAACGCGAAGAACCUUACCUGGUCUUGACAUAGUGAGAAUUGGGCAGAGAUGCCCGAGUGCCUUCGGGAAUUCACAUACAGGUGCUGCAUGGCUGUCGUCAGCUCGUGUCGUGAGAUGUUGGGUUAAGUCCCGCAACGAGCGCAACCCUUUUCCUUAUUUGCCAGCACUUUUAGGUGGGAACUCUAAGGAUACUGCCAGUGACAAACUGGAGGAAGGCGGGGACGACGUCAAGUCAUCAUGGCCCUUACGACCAGGGCUACACACGUGCUACAAUGGUCGGUACAAAGGGUUGCUACACAGCGAUGUGAUGCUAAUCUCAAAAAGCCGAUCGUAGUCCGGAUUGGAGUCUGCAACUCGACUCCAUGAAGUCGGAA